UGAGUCUACCCGCACAGAAAUGAUGGGCAUUCUAGCCUGCAAGCCUAGAGAAGCACUUGCAAGAAAUCUCACUGCUCUCAUCACAGCCUCUCUGGAAGACGAACCUACACUCAAUUCUCAAAACAUUUUUCCUUGAAUACAAUGAAACAUGCAACAAGUAGAAGUAGGAAGGAUUGAUGACCAAAGAAGACAGUGAUAAUGUUUUAUUUUCAAGAUGAUGUUUGCUUCAUCUUAGAAGAACAAUAACAAAAUUUUGAAUGGGAAGAUUCCAAUCAAAGCUUUCACUCCUCAACAACCCAGCUACUCAGGAGGCUGAGGCAGGAGAAUUUCCUGAAUCUGGGAGGCGGAGGUUCCAGUGAGCCAAGAUCAUGCCACUGCACUCCAGCAUGGGUGACAGAGGGUUAAGCCCAAAGCUGCAGAUCAAAAUUUUGCCACCAUGAAGAAAAGAGGAAAUCAGAAUUGGAUCCUUUAUGAACUUUUCCUUUACAGGAGCCAGUAUAUGCCCUUUCCUACUUGUGCAAGUAUAAACAAGGUUCCUUUGAUUUGCAACCAAGUAUCCUGAAAAACACAAGGAUUAAAGACAAGUGUAUUUCAAUAAAGAAAAGAAAAUAGUUUAUUUUUAUGAGUAGUAGAUUUAAGAAAACCUAUAUUACUGUGACAAGAGUACCUUAAAAUAUUUAAGUCUACAAAAGGCACUUAGGGACUUUAUGGCAAACUCUACACUUAAUAAUGAAAAGCCAGACCAGACCAUUUUAAAAAACUUUACUGCACCAGAUAAUGGCACAUCCACUCAUUCAAUUAACAUUUAUUGAGUAUCUUCAGGGUUUUUAGAUGUGUGCAAUAAAAAUGAUAAAAGCGUAUUCUUCGGUUUGAGCUGGUUCAUCCAAGUUCAUUCCAUAAAGAGCAGCUGUGUAUGCUGUUCAGACUAAUUGUGUGAAGUUGGAGAGGCCAGGUGUUUCUGUCUAGCCCAACAGCUGCAGUUGGUGGUAAGGGCACCACCUGAAUUUCAGUCUGACCAUAAAAUGAGGCUGAUGAAACAGCACCUUGCAUGAGCUUUUAGGUGAAAGACAGAACAGAACAUGUUUAGAAUUCUUCUCCCUUCUAAUAAAACAUCCAUUAACGUUUAUGAAGGAGUCUGGAUGAGGCAUUGUGCCAGACCCUCUUUUCUUUCUUUACUUUCCACAAGAAAACUCCACCAAUAGUAUGGGUUCAACUGUUAUUCAUGCACCUAUACUCUAUGAAAAUAUGCCAAAAUUGUCACCUCCUGCCUUAUUACCUCUUGAUCCCCCAUGGCUAGGCCUAAAUAAAUG